rnacentral:rRNA from 1 species
UUUUGGACAAUGGGCGCAAGCCUGAUCCAGCCAUUCCGCGUGAGUGAAGAAGGCCUUCGGGUUGUAAAGCUCUUUCGCAAGGGAAGAAAACUUACUUUCUAAUAAAGAGUGAGGUUGACGGUACCUUGAUAAGAAGCACCGGCUAACUACGUGCCAGCAGCCGCGGUAAUACGUAGGGUGCGAGCGUUAAUCGGAAUUACUGGGCGUAAAGCGUGCGCAGGCGGCUUUGUAAGUCAGAUGUGAAAUCCCCGAGCUCAACUUGGGAACUGCGUUUGAAACUACAAGGCUAGAAUAUGUCAGAGGGGGGUAGAAUUCCACGUGUAGCAGUGAAAUGCGUAGAGAUGGGAGGAAUACCAAUGGCGAAGGCAGCCCCCUGGGAUAAUAUUGACGCUCAUGCACGAAA